rnacentral:pre_miRNA from 1 species
CGCCCUCUCCCUCCGUUCCAAAUUACUUGUCGCAGGUAUGGAUGUAUCUAGAUGUAUUUUAGUUCUAGAUACGUCCAUUUCUUUGACGAGUAAUUUGGAAUGGAGGGAGUUGUUG